rnacentral:rRNA from 1 species
UACAGAGGGUGCAAGCGUUAAUCGGAAUUACUGGGCGUAAAGCGUGCGUAGUCGGUUAUCUAAGUCGGGUGUGAAAUCCCCGGGCUCAACCUGGGAAUUGCAUUCGAUACUGGAUAGCUAGAGUUCGGCAGAGGGAAGCGGAAUUUCGGGUGUAGCGGUGAAAUGCGUAGAUAUCCGAAGGAACAUCAGUGGCGAAAGCGGCUCCUGGACCAGAACUGACGAUCAGGCACGAAAGCGUGGGGAGCAAACAGGAUAGAA